rnacentral:rRNA from 1 species
AGAGUUUGAUCCUGGCUCAGGAUGAACGCUAGCUACAGGCUUAACACAUGCAAGUCGAGGGGCAGCAUGGGCUUAGCUUGCUAAGCCCGAUGGCGACCGGCGCACGGGUGAGUAACACGUAUCCAACCUUCCGGUAACUCCGGUAUAGCCUUUCGAAAGAAAGAUUAAUCCCGGAUAGUAUGGUGAUUCCGCAUGGUUUCUCCAUUAAAGGAUUCCGGUUACCGAUGGGGAUGCGUUCCAUUAGGCAGUUGGCGGGGUAACGGCCCACCAAACCUAGGAUGGAUAGGGGUUCUGAGAGGAAGGUCCCCCACAUUGGAACUGAGACACGGUCCAAACUCCUACGGGAGGCAGCAGUGAGGAAUAUUGGUCAAUGGGCGGAAGCCUGAACCAGCCAAGUAGCGUGAAGGAUGACUGCCCUAUGGGUUGUAAACUUCUUUUAUAAGGGAAUAAUUGUGGGUACGCGUACCCAUUUGCAUGUACCUUAUGAAUAAGGAUCGGCUAACUCCGUGCCAGCAGCCGCGGUAAUACGGAGGAUCCGAGCGUUAUCCGGAUUUAUUGGGUUUAAAGGGAGCGUAGGCGGGCGCUUAAGUCAGCUGUGAAAGUUUGGGGCUCAACCUUAAAAUUGCAGUUGAUACUGGGUGCCUUGAGUGCAGUAUAGGCAGGCGGAAUUCGUGGUGUAGCGGUGAAAUGCUUAGAUAUCACGAAGAACUCCUAUUGCGAAGGCAGCUUGCUGGAGUGUAACUGACGCUGAUGCUCGAAAGUGUGGGUAUCAAACAGGAUUAGAUACCCUGGUAGUCCACACAGUAAACGAUGAAUACUCGCUGUUUGCGAUAUACUGCAAGCGGCCAAGCGAAAGCGUUAAGUAUUCCACCUGGGGAGUACGCCGGCAACGGUGAAACUCAAAGGAAUUGACGGGGGCCCGCACAAGCGGAGGAACAUGUGGUUUAAUUCGAUGAUACGCGAGGAACCUUACCCGGGCUUGAAUUGCAACCGAAUUAUCCGGAAACGGGUAAGCCGCAAGGCGGUUGUGAAGGUGCUGCAUGGUUGUCGUCAGCUCGUGCCGUGAGGUGUCGGCUUAAGUGCCAUAACGAGCGCAACCCUUAUCCACAGUUACCAUCAGGUGAUGCUGGGGACUCUGUGGAGACUGCCGUCGUAAGAUGCGAGGAAGGGGGGGAUGACGUCAAAUCAGCACGGCCCUUACGUCCGGGGCUACACACGUGUUACAAUGGGGGGUACAGCAGGCAGCUCGGCGGCGACGCCCGGCCAAUCCCUAAAUCCCCUCUCAGUUCGGACUGGAGUCUGCAACCCGACUCCACGAAGCUGGAUUCGCUAGUAAUCGCGCAUCAGCCACGGCGCGGUGAAUACGUUCCCGGGCCUUGUACACACCGCCCGUCAAGCCAUGAAAGCCGGGGGUACCUGAAGUGCGUAACCGUCCAGGAGCGCCCUAGGGUAAAACCGGUGAUUGGGGCUAAGUCGUAACAAGGUAACC